AUCGCUUCUCGGCCUUUUGGCUAAGAUCAAGUGUAGUAUCUGUUCUUAGCAGUUUAAAAUGCCAGGGCGAGAUUCCGAAACUCCAUUUAAAACCCUGAUCGCUCUAUGAGACGAUCAAGAGCAAUCUUUGGUUUUGUAUCAGAUACAAAUCCACAAGUUAACCUGUA
rnacentral:snRNA from 1 species